UAGUCAUAUGCUUGUCUCAAAGAUUAAGCCAUGCAUGUCUAAGUAUAAGCUUGUUUAUACGGCGAGACUGCGGAUGGCUCAUUAAAUCAGUUAUAGUUUAUUUGAUGGUCUCUUUUGUCUUUUUUUACCUACUUGGAUAACCGUGGUAAUUCUAGAGCUAAUACAUGCGCAAGGUCCCGAGCGCGGGGGGCGGGGCUUCACGGCCUCGUCCUCGCAUGCGCAGAGGGAUGUAUUUAUUAGGUUAAAAACCAGCAGCCGGCAACGGCUUCAACUCCUGG
rnacentral:rRNA from 1 species